ensembl:lncRNA
GACGCCGUUAGAGCAGGUAGGACGCCGUUAGAGCUGGUAGGACGCCGUUAGAGCAGGUAGGACGCCGUUAGAGCUGGUAGGACGCCGUUAGAGCAGGUAGGACGCCGUUAGAGCUGGUAGGACGCCGUUAGAGCAGGUAGGAUGCCCUUAGAGCUGGUAGAUGCCGUUAGAGCUGGUAGGAUGCCGUUAGAGCUGGUAGGACGCCGUUAGAGCUAGCAGGACGUUGAAAGAGACCAGAGGAAGAACACAAACAUGAUGACAGUGUUUCAGAGAGGACAGGAGAAGUUAUAACUCCUUAUUCAUCAUCCAUCAGCCGUAAUAAAGUUUAUUCGACGCCAUCGUAUGGGUUUGGAGAGUGCUACGAUCCCGUCUGGUUUCUUCUGGAUUCCUGCUGUGGUUGUCUUCCAUUUGUUUAGGAGGCGGGUUAAGUGAUGAGCUCAGCCAGCAGCUCAGGUUUCAAAGACAGGACUGGAUAA